rnacentral:lncRNA from 1 species
AAUCCCUAAUAAGGCCUUAGGCAGCCUCCUUGAAGCCCAUUGGAUAUGGCCUUCGACCAAUAGGAAUGAAGUUUUUCAUUCUUUGCCUUCAUCCAACCAUGCCUUACUUUCAUCCCUCACAAUAAGCCUCCUAUUAAUUAAGAUUUUCUUCUUUAGGCUCUAAUCUCCUCUCAAGGCUUUGUACUAAACAUUUAGAUCUUACAAUUUUUUUUAAAUGCUAUAAUAAAAAAUAAAUAAAACUCAAAAUAAAGUUUCUUAAAUCUACUCUCUUUAAUUUAAUCUAUUUAUCAUCCUAACAUAUA